AUGUUUCUUCAAUACAUUCUCGACAGAAAAAUUGACAUUUCAGUGCAUUUUGAGCUAUUUUGAAAGAAAAUAAAGCGAGUUCCCUUGCAACGAGAAUAAUCCGAUACCGCCGGCCGGCGAGCCGUGUUCAUUCAACUUACAACUUGCAAAUUUGAGUUGAUUUUUCCGUCACUUUACAUAUUUUAAUGUAUCUGUCACAGCUUUUUUUAGUGCAAAUUCCACUGGAAACAACGGGUCUUCUGGAGGAUACAAGCACUUGGGCUGGUCCCAACAACCUACACCCGGGAUGAGGAGAAGAGGUUUCAUACUCGACAAGCGAUGGCCUUUCCAUUUCUUUCAUGAGCAGAAAUGAUACCGAGUUCUAAUGACUUGGGCAUCAGAGCAGCAGUCCCUUGAUCGAUGAGCUCUUUGAGACCACCUGAAUUGCAAGCUCUGUAUGGCCAGUUUAUGUGUGACAAAAUAAGAGAUGAGGAAGGGUUGAAAAUCCCUCCAGCUAAGUUAGGGAUCAUGUAAUUGCCAUGGAAACCAAAUAAAGUAACGUAUAACAGGUUGUAUAUUCCUGAAAGUGCAAUUGUUGGAUAAAUGUUAAUUUAUAUUGGCACUAAUGUAAUUUUAAGAUCGUCCUUAGCUUUACAUAAACACCAAGAGCAGAGGAUAUUGUUCCCAGUUGGAAUUGUGUCAU